rnacentral:rRNA from 1 species
CAGCUUGUUGGUGAGGUAAUGGCUCACCAAGGCGACGACGGGUAGCCGGCCUGAGAGGGCGACCGGCCACACUGGGACUGAGACACGGCCCAGACUCCUACGGGAGGCAGCAGUGGGGAAUAUUGGGCAAUGGAGGGAACUCUGACCCAGCGACGCCGCGUGCGGGAUGAAGGCCUUCGGGUUGUAAACCGCUUUCAGCAAGGAAGAAGCGAAAGUGACGGUACUUGCAGAAGAAGCACCGGCUAACUAUGUGCCAGCAGCCGCGGUAAUACAUAGGGUGCAAGCGUUGUCCGGAAUUAUUGGGCGUAAAGAGCUCGUAGGUGGUUCGUCACGUCGGAUGUGAAAAUCUGGGGCUUAACCCCAGACCUGCAUUCGAUACGGGCGAGCUAGAGUGUGGCAGGGGAGACUGGAAUUCCUGGUGUAGCGGUGGAAUGCGCAGAUAUCAGGAGGAACACCAAUGGCGAAGGCAGGUCUCUGGGCCAUUACUGACACUGAGGAGCGAAAGCGUGGGGAGCGAACAGGAUUAGAUACCCUGGUAGUCCACGCCGUAAACGGUGGGCACUAGUUGUGGGAACCUUCCACGGUUUCUGCGACGCAGCUAACGCAUUAAGUGCCCCGCCUGGGGAGUACGAUCGCAAGAUUAAAACUCAAAGGAAUUGACGGGGCCCCGCACAAGCAGCGGAGCAUGCGGCUUAAUUCGACGCAACGCGAAGAACCUUACCAAGGCUUGACAUAUACAGGAAUAUGGCAGAGAUGUCAUAGCCGCAAGGUCUGUAUACAGGUGGUGCAUGGUUGUCGUCAGCUCGUGUCGUGAGAUGUUGGGUUAAGUCCCGCAACGAGCGCAACCCUCGUUCUGUGUUGCCAGCAUUUAGUUGGGGACUCACAGGAGACUGCCGGGGUUAACUCGGAGGAAGGUGGGGAUGACGUCAAAUCAUCAUGCCCCUUAUGUCUUGGGCUGCACGCAUGCUACAAUGGCUGGUACAAACGGCUGCGAUACCGCAAGGUGGAGCGAAUCCGAUAAAGCCAGUCUCAGUUCGGAUUGGGGUCUGCAACUCGACCCCAUGAAGUCGGAGUUGCUAGUAAUCGUAGAUCAGCAACGCUACGGUGAAUACGUUCCCGGGGCUUGUACACACCGCCCGUCACGUCACGAAAGUCGGUAACACCCGAAGUCAGUGGCCCAACC